UACGUAGGGUGCGAGCGUUAAUCGGAAUUACUGGGCGUAAAGCGUGCGUAGGCGGUCCCGCAAGUCCGCUGUGAAAGCCCCGAGCUUAACUUGGGAACUGCAGUGGAAACUAUGGGACUUGAAUCCGGCAGAGGGGGGUGGAAUGCCGACGUGUAGCAGUGAAAUGCGUAGAGAUGUGGCGGAACACCGAUGGCGAAGGCAGCCCCCUGGGCUGAGAUUGACGCUCAGGCACGAAAGCGUGGGGAGCAAACAGG
rnacentral:rRNA from 1 species